UCUUCAACCUGAGGACUCGCA
rnacentral:miRNA from 1 species